rnacentral:rRNA from 1 species
UACAGAGGGUGCGAGCGUUAAUCGGAAUUACUGGGCGUAAAGGGCACGUAGGUGGUUAUAUAAGUCGUUAGUGAAAUGCCUGAGCUUAACUUAGGCCUGUCUGACGAAACUGUAUAGCUUGAGUUCUGUAGAGGGUAGUGGAAUUCCUGGUGUAGCGGUGAAAUGCGUAGAUAUCAGGAGGAACACCCGUGGCGAAGGCGGCUACCUGGACAGAAACUGACACUGAGGUGCGAAAGCGUGGGUAGCGAACAGG